UACGUAGGGGGCAAGCGUUGUCCGGAUUUAUUGGGCGUAAAGAGCGUGUAGGCGGCCAGACAGGUCAGCUGUGAAAACUCGAGGCUCAACCUCGAGACGUCGGUUGAAACCGUCUGGCUAGAGUCCGGAAGAGGAGAGUGGAAGUUCCCGGUGUAGCGGUGAAAUGCGCAGAUAUCGGGAAGAACACCCGUGGCGAAGGCGGCUCUCUGGGACGGUACUGACGCUGAGACGCGAAAGCGUGGGGA
rnacentral:rRNA from 1 species